rnacentral:rRNA from 1 species
GUGGGGAAUUUUGGACAAUGGGCGAAAGCCUGAUCCAGCCAUGCCGCGUGUGUGAAGAAGGUCUUCGGAUUGUAAAGCACUUUAAGUUGGGAGGAAGGGCAGUAAGUUAAUACCUUGCUGUUUUGACGUUACCGACAGAAUAAGCACCGGCUAACUUCGUGCCAGCAGCCGCGGUAAUACGAAGGGUGCAAGCGUUAAUCGGAAUUACUGGGCGUAAAGCGCGCGUAGGUGGUUUUGUAAGUUGGAGGUGAAAUCCCCGGGCUCAACCUGGGAACUGACUCCAAAACUGCAUGACUAGAGUACGGUAGAGGGUAGUGGAAUUUCCUGUGUAGCGGUGAAAUGCGUAGAUAUAGGAAGGAACACCAGUGGCGAAGGCGACUACCUGGACUGAUACUGACACUGAGGUGCGAAAGCGUGGGGAGCAAACAGGAUUAGAUACCCGUGUAGUCC